AUUGAACGCUGGCGGCAGGCCUAACACAUGCAAGUCGAACGAGUGGCGGACGGGUGAGUAAUGUCUGGGAAACUGCCUGGUAGAGGGGGAUAACUACUGGAAACGGUAGCUAAUACCGCAUACCAUCGGAUGUGCCCAGAUGGGAUUAGCUAGUGGGUGGGGUAAAGGCUCACCUAGGCGACGAUCCCUAGCUGGUCUGAGAGGAUGACCGGCCACACUGGAACUGAGACACGGCCCAGACUCCUACGGGAGGCAGCAGUGGGGAAUAUUCGACAAUGGGCGCAAGCCUGAUCCAGCAACGCCGCGUGUGUGAAGAAGGCCUUCGGAUUGUAAAGCACUGUCAGCGGGGAGGCGUUACCCGCAGAAGAAGCACCGGCUAACUCCGUGCCAGCAGCCGCGGUAAUAC
rnacentral:rRNA from 1 species